rnacentral:rRNA from 1 species
AAAUUGAAGAGUUUGAUCAUGGCUCAGAUUGAACGCUGGCGGCAGGCCUAACACAUGCAAGUCGAGCGGAAACGACACUAACAAUCCUUCGGGUGCGUUAAUGGGCGUCGAGCGGCGGACGGGUGAGUAAUGCCUAGGAAAUUGCCUUGAUGUGGGGGAUAACCAUUGGAAACGAUGGCUAAUACCGCAUGAUGCCU